rnacentral:rRNA from 1 species
AGAGGGUGCGAGCGUUAAUCGGAAUCACUGGGCGUAAAGGGCGCGUAGGUGGAUAAAUAAGUUGGCUGUGAAAUGCCCGGGCUUAACCUGGGAGGGUCAGCCAAAACUGAUUAUCUAGAGUACGGUAGAGGGUGGUGGAAUUUCCGGUGUAGCGGUGAAAUGCGUAGAUAUCGGAAGGAACACCAGUGGCGAAGGCGGCUACCUGGAUCGAUACUGACACUGAGGCGCGAAAGCGUGGGUAGCAAACAGGGAUUAGAUACCCUGGUAGUCCACGCCGUAAACGAUGACAACUAGCCCGUUGGUGCUUUUAAGCAUGAGUGGCGCAGCUAACGCGAUAAGUUGUCCGCCUGGGAGUAACGGCCGCAAGGUUA